GAGGCCGCGCAGGCGCGCAGGAACUCGCGGAUGUUGCUCAGGCACUCGCUCUCGCUCCGCGGCUCCGGGUAGACCUGCAACACACAGCGCGGGCGCUGAGCGCGGCGGCGGCGGGCCGCGCGGCCCCAAGCCUCCCGGCCGCCGCUGCGCUCACCCUCUUUCCUUCCUGCGGGCGGCACCAAUCUCGGUCCCGGCCUCGCCCGGAAGUGGGCAGCGCCGGAAGUGACGCCGUCAGGCCGCGCCCCGGCCGGCGCGGGUCCCCGCUCGCCCCGCCGCGCCUCUCGCGGGCUCCCCGGCCAGCACGCCCCGCGCCCGGCCGGCCCCGGCGCGUCGACCAGCGGACGCCGCCCGCGCGGAGGGGCCGCGAGGGCGGCCGCGGCGGCCUGAGCGCCCCCGACCCGUGCGUCCUCACCUGGCUCAUGGAGAGUGCGGUUUCUAUUCUGCAUGAUCUGAAAUGACCAGCAAGAUACUGCAGACCCAGAGGGAAGCAGACCUUGGUGAUGCGCUGCCUGAACUGAGAAGGCCCUGGCCGGGAAACACACAGCUGUGAGAGCCACCUGUAGAAGAUCCCCUGGGAACACAGCUGGGCCUGGGCACAGCCCUGCCAGGGGCCUCUCCCCAGGCUGGGUCCCCUGGACCUUCAGCAUCAGCAGUCCCUCAGACCUCAGCAGGAGACAGCUUCUCCACCAGCCUAGGCCUUCUGCACGAGCAGCUGAGUGUGGAGACCAGCUCUGAAUCUGCAGAUGAACUGGAGGCCACCAGACCACCUAGCCCAGGUGAACAGAUGGAAGGGCCCCACGACUUGACAAGUGAAACACACGUACACUAAUAUCACUUGCUUUUGUUUUUCUGUUUGCUAUGGUACUGGGCAUUCAGCCCAGGGGCACUCGAUCCCUGAGCCACAUCCCCAGCUCUGUUUUUUAAUUUCAUUUUGAGACAGGGUCUCACCAAUUGCCCAAGCUGGCCUCAAACUUGGGAUCCUCUCGUCUCAGCCUCUACGUUACUGGGAUUACAGGUGUGCGCUACCAUGCCUGGCUCACUGACAUUUUAAUAUACCAUGCUGCCUCUGUCCAGAGCAGCAGGAAAGCCAGUCCAGCCAACAUUUUCAGCCCAAGGGCUCCCUAACAAGAUGUGCCUGCCACACUUUCCCUCAACAUCCUUUAGUGGCUCCCAGAAACCCCCUCCCAUCAGCCUCUCAAAGUGUUACCAAGGAAAACCUAGAUAAGCCCUCAAGCUUCACUUGCUCUUAACUAACUUAAAAAGAACUAAUUUUGGAGGUACUGUACAAGUCUCCCACUGGCUCUGCUAUAGCCACCUCUGACAUGUGGCUCCUAAUGAUGAUGGUUGCCUAGGUUACUCUUAAGGGAUCUCAAGGCUGCCUUUGCUGGUAACACCAGCUCUUCAUUGGGCCUGUGACAUCCCUCAGGUGACUGGAAUGGGGUGCAGAGGUUUAGCAUCUGCCUUCAUGUCAUGUCUGUCUUUGUUGCCUUAACUCUGCUCAAGUUCUGCUUAGCUCUGUGCACAGAACUGCUGAACAUUAGAGGCAUGUUCUCUCCAGCAAUGUAAUAAAGGGUUAACUUGA